AUCACCUGUAUGUGGGGUUGUGGACACAACUGCAGUUCUGGAUCUUUUCCAGAAUGCUGAGAACUGGCAAAGGAGGUCCAAGUCCUUGCACAUGCUGGGAGAAGAAUACUAAUCUGUGUCACCUGAGUAACGAGGUGGGUGUAUAGCUGCAAGUACAGCCUUGUGUAAGGCUUUCAGGGUGAAAUUAAUUUGUAAUCCAAGCGAUUACAUAGAAACAUUUUUGGGCUGUUGACUGCUAGAGUAGCCAAAAUAAAUAAUAAAAUAUACAGACAGGGGUUUAUUGUUCCCAUAGUUAUUGGCUAUUGGAAGGCCACCGUUGGUCGGUAUCUGUAUCGGACCUAAAAAAGGGCCUAGUUUAGACACAACUGGAUAUUUUCUAUAAAAGUUCCUUUUUAUUCAAAAAACUUCAGUAAGCACUACGCCAAGGGGAAAUUAAUUCACAGAUUUGGAGAAUGUAGUAACCCAUCGAUUCUACAAAUGUGUGGCAAAGCAUUGGCUCGGCGCUACGUUUUCACCUUUUAAUCACAAUAGGUGGAAAGGAUUCUGGGACACUAAUAAAUUCUAUGAUU